GAUAGGUCAGUUGGUAGAGCAUAAGACUCUCAAUUUCAGGGUCGUGGGUUCAAGCCCCAUAUUGGGCA
rnacentral:tRNA from 1 species